rnacentral:rRNA from 1 species
UACGUAGGGUGCAAGCGUUAAUCGGAAUUACUGGGCGUAAAGCGUGCGCAGGCGGUUCUAUAAGACAGAUGUGAAAUCCCCGGGCUCAACCUGGGAACUGCAUUUGUGACUGUAGAGCUGGAGUACGGCAGAGGGGGAUGGAAUUCCGCGUGUAGCAGUGAAAUGCGUAGAUAUGCGGAGGAACACCGAUGGCGAAGGCAAUCCCCUGGGCCUGUACUGACGCUCGUGCACGAAAGCGUGGGGAGCAAACAGG